GAUGAAGAACGUAGCGAAAUGCGAUAAGUAAUGUGAAUUGCAGAAUUCAGUGAAUCAUCGAAUCUUUGAACGCACAUUGCGCCCGCCAGUAUUCUGGCGGGCAUGCCUGUUCGAGCGUCAUUUCAACCCUCGACCUCCCCUUGGGGAGGUCGGCGUUGGGGACCGGCAGCACACCGCCGGCCCUGAAAUGGAGUGGCGGCCCGUCCGCGGCGACCUCUGCGCAGUAAUACAGCUCGCACCGGGACCCCGACGCGGCCACGCCGUAAAACACCCAACUUCUGAACGUUGACCUCGAAUCAGGUAGGACUACCCGCUGAACUUAAGCAUAUCAAUAAGCGGAGGA
rnacentral:misc_RNA from 1 species